rnacentral:lncRNA from 1 species
CAGCCACGAACGGACCCCCGGGCCAUAGCAGCUGCAGCGGAACCGAUCGACAGAAGAUCAUGGCCGCCGCCUCCUCCGCCGUCUCUGGCCUCGCCGGCGCCGCCCUCGCCAGCCGGCCGGCUUUCUCCACCAGUAUGUGCACAAUGCCCCUUCUUGCAUGCGCAGUUGUAUCAUGUAUGGAGGUGGAGAACUGAUGACGUUGACGAUCCUUGCGUUGCAGGCUUCGUGCGGGGCGGCCGGGUGUCGGCCAGGAACCCGCUGAUGACGAGGAACCUGGAGAGGAACGGCAGGAUCACCUGCAUGACGUGAGUACACCUCUGGCUAGCUUUGCCCAAGAGCGGCAGCGCGCGUUGUUCAUGUUGUCUCUGUGAAAUCGUUGCUGAUCGAUCUCGGCGGUUUUUUCCUUUCCCGUGUACGUGCUCGCCAGGUUUCCCCGGGACUGGCUGCGGAGGGACCUGAGCGUGAUCGGCUUCGGCCUCAUCGGGUGGAUCGGCCCGUCCAGCGUCCCCGUCAUCAACGGCAACAGCCUCACGGGCCUCUUCUUCUCCAGCAUCGGCGAGGAGCUCGCCCACUUCCCCACGCCCCCGCCAGUCACCUCCCAGUUCUGGUCAGGCUCAAGACCUCGCGCUCACGCUCUGCCUGGCCACUGUUUCUGACUUUCUGU